rnacentral:misc_RNA from 1 species
CUCAAUAGGUAAUAUACUGGAAAAAGGCUGUCUCGACUUGCUACCCAUGACUUAAUUGGAGAACUUAUUAGACCCAUUUGUUUGUUCUCGUUAUCCAUUAAUCAAAUCCUAACUCAGUGGUCAUUAGGACUACUCUCCGUGAGUAUCCCAUGGAUGGAGACGCCUAGCCCAAGCGAGAGAUUCGAGGCACAUCAUAUACAUUGUUAACAAUCUUUAGCAAUGUUGUUAGUAAAGCAUGCUCUCACUAAUCACCUAUUGAUGUAAAUCCAUCUCCAAAAGGAGAUACACUUCCCUUUGCCAUGUGAAUUGUGAAGUUAUCCAACUUGGCAGAUGACAAUCUAGGACCUGAAGAGACCCAAGAGGGGCAUCUGAAAGAGAAAUAUGGAUACAACAUGACU